rnacentral:rRNA from 1 species
AACGAACGCUGGCGGCAGGCUUAACACAUGCAAGUCGAGCGCCCCGCAAGGGGAGCGGCAGACGGGUGAGUAACGCGUGGGAAUCUACCCAUCUCUACGGAAUAACGCAUGGAAACGUGUGCUAAUACCGUAUACGUCCUUCGGGAGAAAGAUUUAUCGGAGAUGGAUGAGCCCGCGUUGGAUUAGCUAGUUGGUGGGGUAAAGGCCUACCAAGGCGACGAUCCAUAGCUGGUCUGAGAGGAUGAUCAGCCACACUGGGACUGAGACACGGCCCAGCCUACUACGGGAGGCAGCAGUGGGGAAUAUUGGACAAUGGGCGCAAGCCUGAUCCAGCCAUGCCGCGUGAGUGAUGAAGGCCCUAGGGUUGUAAAGCUCUUUCACCGGUGAAGAUAAUGACGGUAACCGGAGAAGAAGCCCCGGCUAACUUCGUGCCAGCCGCCGCGGUAACAC